rnacentral:lncRNA from 1 species
AUGGCUAUGUGUUCUAGAUGCAUACUUGGGCUGGCUCCCUGCAGGAAGGGCAGAAGUCUGUUCUUGCCGUCUUGUCAUAAUAAAUAAAAACAUUUGCUUUCAGUCUUAUUCUGUUUUGGUGUGAAUGUGACUUUGUCAUGAACGAGGCAAUCCUUGCAUCAAUAACAAAUUGAUCAAAAUCAAAGUGUUUGGGGUCAUAAUCUGGAAUGCUCCGUUGAACGAAGUUUAAUUUUGCCUCUUCACCUUUCGUGUCCAACUCUUUCGUCUUUAUUGGUCUUUCGGAAAUGUAAACAAACAUAAUCCCUGACCUGAUCCAGUAUUACAGUUGUAUGCAACACAAAACACCAUAGCCGGUUAACGUUGUUUACAAGUUUACGUUCUAACACAUGUAUUCGAUACCAAUGUAA